GCUGUCAGCCAGCGUCUCCUUCUGACUUCUCCAGCCUGCCCGGUUCCUGCGGUGCUGUCCCCUGCCCCUUGUCACCGUCUUGAGGCGCCACACUGCUGCCUUUGCAGUCUUGAACCUUCAAACGUCUUGUGCCCGGCCGGAGGACACAAUUGUCAACGAAUCCUCGAACGCUAACGGGUCACCAGAAAAGCGCUGCAGGGAAUACCUCCAGCCCUUGGGGUGUGGUGGAGAGAGCAGGCUCGUUACUGGCUUGGGCGAGGGGCAGCCAUUCUCUGUUCUGCCCUCUGGAGCGGGUGCUGCACCGCAGGCCGGGAUGAUGAAGUGUGGGGUGGGGCUUCUGGGAACCACAGACAGACAGACAGAAAGCCUCAGGAGGCUGUGCCCCUACGGCAUGGCCUAGGAGAGCUGGCCGCGCUGCUCACCCGAGGAGGUGGUCCCGGUGACCCUGACACCCAGCUCAGCUACCACCCAGACCCACGUCCUGGGCCUUGGGGUGGCCCACCCUGACAUCACCACGUCUAUGACCUGCUGGAGUGCGUCAACAGACUGGCCCUGAGGAACGAUGGCCACGGGAUCUCCAUGACUCCGGGAACCACGGGAUAUCUGAGAGGAGUUUUGACCACAGUUGACCUAGGGAAACAUCCAUCUAAUGUGGUACUCUGGGAAAUCUCUUCAUGGUGCCCACUUCACGACACAGAAUGACCAGUCCUAGGCUUCUUGGAGCAUCUUGCUGCCACUGCAAGUCUAACAUGUGCUGUGUGACUCCUCCUGGGAGAUGUAAAGAAAUGUCUAUGCAGGUGGACAUAGAGGGCGCUCAUAGAUUAGAGAUUCCAUAAAGGGUUUAUUGCAAUUAUUUACUUACCAGCUCAUAGACAAUGCACAGGCAGGGGUCUACCUGGAA